GGCUCUUGGCCGCCGCCUCAAGGAACACGGCAGGAGGGUCGUUAACCUUCUGGGGUCUCUCGGGCCUGGUCAGCUUUCCAAGUAAGCAGAAUGAAGACCAAAAGACAUUCAGAAAAGAGGACAAAGGAAAGAGAAGUGAUAGUGAACAAGCACUAGAAAUACAAGACAGCAACAAGAUUUGUGGAAAGUUUGGGAUAGAUGGAAUCUAUCAUUCGAUAAAUAAUGUCAAAUGACCUGAAAGUCUCUGGAGUCUUAUGUGUGGCCUUUGAGGACUCAUCAACUUGAGAACAGAGCAGGAUGCAGGUGUUUCAACCAUGGAUGCCAUAGUGGUUACUACAGAUAUUGAAUAUACUGUGCUAUACAGAAGAAACUUGUUUAUUUU